rnacentral:rRNA from 1 species
UACGUAGGGUGCGAGCGUUGUCCGGAAUUAUUGGGCGUAAAGGGCUCGUAGGCGGUUUGUCGCGUCGGGAGUGAAAUCCACUGGCUUAACUGGUGGCUUGCUUUCGAUACGGGCAGACUGGAGGUAUGCAGGGGAGAACGGAAUUCCUGGUGUAGCGGUGAAAUGCGCAGAUAUCAGGAGGAACACCGGUGGCGAAGGCGAGUCCCUAGACGACUCCUGACACUGAGGCACGAAAGCUAGGGGAGCAAACAGG